UGAGGAAUAUUGGGCAAUGGAGGGAACUCUGACCCAGCCAUGCCGCGUGCAGGAAGACUGCCCUAUGGGUUGUAAACUGCUUUUAUACAGGAAGAAACACACCUACGCGUAGGUGCUUGACGGUACUGUACGAAUAAGCACCGGCUAACUCCGUGCCAGCAGCCGCGGUAAUACGGAGGGUGCAAGCGUUAUCCGGAAUCAUUGGGUUUAAAGGGUCCGCAGGCGGUCAAUUAAGUCAGAGGUGAAAUCCCAUAGCUUAACUAUGGAACUGCCUUUGAUACUGGUUGACUUGAGUUAUACGGAAGUAGAUAGAAUGUGUAGUGUAGCGGUGAAAUGCAUAGAUAUUACACAGAAUACCGAUUGCGAAGGCAGUCUACUACGUGUAUACUGACGCUCAUGGACGAAAGCGUGGGGAGCGAACAGG
rnacentral:rRNA from 1 species